UUGCGGCCAUAUCACGUUGAAACACCGGUUCUCAUACGAUCACCGAAGUUAAGCAACGUCGAGUCUGGUCAGUACCUAGAUGGGUGGCCGCUUAGAAAUGCCAGGAGCUGUAA